GAUGAACGCUGGCGGCGUGCCUAAUACAUGCAAGUCGAACGAACAGGUGAGGAGCUUGCUCCUCUGACGUUAGCGGCGGGCGGGUGAGUAACACGUGGAUAACCUACCUAUAAGACUGGGAUAACUUCGGGAAACCGGAGCUAAUACCGGAUAAUAUAUUGAAGCGCAUGGUUCAAUAGUGAAAGACGGUUUUGGUGUCACUUAUAGAUGGAUCCGCGCCGCAUUAGCUAGUUGGUAAGGUAACGGCUUACCAAGGCAACGAUGCGUAUCCGACCGCAGAGACUGAUCGGCCGCCCUGGACGUGCACCACGGUCCAGGCUCCUACGGGAGGCAGCAGUAGGGAAUCUGCCGCAGUGGGCGAGAGCUUGACGGAGCGACGCCGCGUGAGUGAUGAAGGUCUUCGGAUCGUAAAACUCUGUUAUUAGGGAAGAACCAAUGUGUACGUAACUAUGCACGUCUUGACGGUACCUAAUCAGAAAGCCACGGCUAACUACGUG
rnacentral:rRNA from 1 species